UCAUACUGUGAAACUGCGAAUGGCUCAUUAAAUCAGUUAUCGUUUAUUUGAUAGUACCUUACUACUUGGAUAACCGUGGUAAUUCUAGAGCUAAUACAUGCUGCAAACCCCGACUUCGGAAGGGGUGUAUUUAUUAGAUACAAAACCAAUGCCCUUCGGGGCUUCUUGGUGAUUCAUGGUAACUUCUCGAAUCGCAUGGCCUUGCGCCGGCGAUGGUUCAUUCAAAUUUCUGCCCUAUCAACUUUCGAUGGUAGGAUAGUGGCCUACCAUGGUGGCAACGGGUAACGGCGAAUUAGGGUUUUAUUCCGGAGAGGGAGCCUGAGAAACGGCUACCACAUCCAAGGAAGGCAGCAGGCGCGCAAAUUACCCAAUCCCGACACGGGGAGGUAGUGACAAUAAAUACUGAUACAGGGCUCUUUCGGGUCUUGUAAUCGGAAUGAGUACAAUCUAAAUCCCUUAACGAGGAACAAUUGGAGGGCAAGUCUGGUGCCAGCAGCCGCGGUAAUUCCAGCUCCAAUAGCGUAUAUUAAAGUUGUUGCAGUUAAAAAGCUCGUAGUUGAACCUUGGGCCUGGCUGGCCGGUCCGCCUCACCGCGUGCACUGGUCCGGCCGGGCCUUUCCUCCCGGGGAACGGCAUGCCCUUCACUGGGCGUGUGCGGGAACCGGGACUUUUACUUUGAAAAAAUUAGAGUGUUCAAAGCAGGCCUUCGCUCGAAUACAUUAGCAUGGAAUAAUAGAAUAGGACGCGCGGUUCUAUUUUGUUGGUUUCUAGAACCGCCGUAAUGAUUAAUAGGGACAGUCGGGGAGACUGGUAUUCAAUUGUCAGAGGUGAAA
rnacentral:rRNA from 1 species